CCCCCAGUAGCGGCGAGCGAACGGGGAGCAGCCCAGAGCCUGAAUCAGUGUGUGUGUUAGUGGAAGCGUCUGGAAAGGCGCGCGAUACAGGGUGACAGCCCCGUACACAAAAAUGCACAUGCUGUGAGCUCGAUGAGUAGGGCGGGACACGUGGUAUCCUGUCUGAAUAUGGGGGGACCAUCCUCCAAGGCUAAAUACUCCUGACUGACCGAUAGUGAACCAGUACCGUGAGGGAAAGGCGAAAAGAACCCCGGCGAGGGGAGUGAAAAAGAACCUGAAACCGUGUACGUACAAGCAGUGGGAGCACGCUUAGGCGUGUGACUGCGUACCUUUUGUAUAAUGGGUCAGCGACUUAUAUUCUGUAGCAAGGUUAACCGAAUAGGGGAGCCGAAGGGAAACCGAGUCUUAACUGGGCGUUAAGUUGCAGGGUAUAGACCCGAAACCCGGUGAUCUAGCCAUGGGCAGGUUGAAGGUUGGGUAACACUAACUGGAGGACCGAACCGACUAAUGUUGAAAAAUUAGCGGAUGACUUGUGGCUGGGGGUGAAAGGCCAAUCAAACCGGGAGAUAGCUGGUUCUCCCCGAAAGCUAUUUAGGUAGCGCCUCGUGAAUUCAUCUCCGGGGGUAGAGCACUGUUUCGGCAAGGGGGUCAUCCCGACUUACCAACCCGAUGCAAACUGCGAAUACCGGAGAAUGUUAUCACGGGAGACACACGGCGGGUGCUAACGUCCGUCGUGAAGAGGGAAACAACCCAGACCGCCAGCUAAGGUCCCAAAGUCAUGGUUAAGUGGGAAACGAUGUGGGAAGGCCCAGACAGCCAGGAUGUUGGCUUAGAAGCAGCCAUCAUUUAAAGAAAGCGUAAUAGCUCACUGGUCGAGUCGGCCUGCGCGGAAGAUGUAACGGGGCUAAACCAUGCAC
rnacentral:rRNA from 1 species